rnacentral:tRNA from 1 species
GCGGACGUGGCGAAACUGGUAAACGCAUCGGGCUUAAAACCCGACGCCUUUCAAUGGCUUGCGGGUUCGACCCCCGCCGUCCGCA